AUGUCUCCAGGCUUAAUGACAGUAAUAUUCUUAAUAGUUGGAAGGACUUGUGGAAUAUCGGUGACCCAGAAGGAAAACCGCAUAUCUGUGUUGGAAGGGGCUUCCAUGACCAUAGACUGCACUUAUACAGCAACAGGGUAUACUUAUCUCUUCUGGUAUGUCCAGUAUCCUGGAGAUGGUCUCCAGCUUCUCCUGAAAGCCAUCACAGCCAAUGAGAAGGGAAGCUAUAAAGGAUUUGAAGCCAGAUAUGACAGAGAAAACACCUCCUUCCACUUGAAGAAAGCUGCAGUCCUAGAGUCAGACUCGGCUGUGAACUACUGUGCUGUAAGUGACACAGUGGCAGAAACCAUAGGGAGAGCUGAGCACGAGCAGGGACAGCAGAGGUCUGGCAGCUGA